AUCCAGCUGACGAGUCCCAUAUAGGACAAAACGCGUGUCCUGGAU
rnacentral:hammerhead_ribozyme from 1 species